UCGGGAAUUUUGGGCAAUGGGCGAAAGCCUGACCCAGCAACGCCGCGUGAAGGAUGAAAUCCUUCGGGAUGUAAACUUCGCAAGAACGGGAAAAAUAAGUAAGAGCUAACAUCUCUUAUGAUGACGGUACUGUUUGUAAGCUCCGGCUAACUCCGUGCCAGCAGCCGCGGUAAUACGGGGGGAGCAAGCGUUGUUCGGAAUUACUGGGCGUAAAGGGCUCGUAGGCGGCCAACUAAGUCGGACGUGAAAUCCCCAGGCUCAACCUGGGAACUGCGUCUGAUACUGGAUGGCUUGAAUCCGGGAGAGGGAUGCAGAAUUCCAGGUGUAGCGGUGAAAUGCGUAGAUAUCUGGAGGAAUACCGGUGGCGAAGGCGGCAUCCUGGACCGGCAUUGACGCUGAGGAGCGAAAGCCAGGGGAGCAAA
rnacentral:rRNA from 1 species